GUACACUCCUGCGGGAGGCAGCAGUGGGGAAUAUUGGACAAUGGGCGCAAGCCUGAUCCAGCCAUGCCGCGUGAGUGAUGAAGGCCCUAGGGUUGUAAAGCUCUUUCACCGGUGAAGAUAAUGACGGUAACCGGAGAAGAAGCCCCGGCUAACUUCGUGCCAGCAGCCGCGGUAAUACGAAGGGGGCUAGCGUUGUUCGGAUUUACUGGGCGUAAAGCGCACGUAGGCGGACUAUUAAGUCAGGGGUGAAAUCCCGGGGCUCAACCCCGGAACUGCCUUUGAUACUGGUAGUCUUGAGUUCGAGAGAGGUGAGUGGAAUUCCGAGUGUAGAGGUGAAAUUCGUAGAUAUUCGGAGGAACACCAGUGGCGAAGGCGGCUCACUGGCUCGAUACUGACGCUGAGGUGCGAAAGCGUGGGGAGCAAACAGGAUUAGAAACCCUGUAGUCCC
rnacentral:rRNA from 1 species